AAUAAUAAAGUGAAUAAUUCAAUAUGCAUAAAGUUUGCCUCUCCAGAAAGUGAAUAAUUCAACACCUUGUUCCACGCACAAACAUGCCCAUAUAUUUCAUCUGCACUAAUACAUACUAAGUCUAAUAUUAAACAUAAAUCUAUUACAUCACAUUAGCUUCUACAAGGCAGUGGCAAAAUAGUCCUAUGGAACUGGUGACAUAAAACUUGCUUCAAUGGAAAUGGGGCCACUAAGAUGCUCUAAAUGUUGUCGUUGAGGAGCUGGCAGAGCCUCAAGCGCACCAUCUAGGAUAUUACUAUGCCUCGGUGUCGAACUCUUUCCUUUUGUUUGAUUUCGAUAGUGCCUGCAUGCGCACCGUAACAAAUAUUAAUUAUAUAACAAAAAAGUAAUUAUGAACAAAACAUUGUCCUCAAUGUUAUCAUUUUCGGAAUCCACGAACAAAACAUCUUCCAUAUUCUCUUCUACAAAACAUAAACACUCACCCGUUAUUUUUCGAAAAUGUACAAAUGUAAAUAAUGUGACAGAGAGGGAGCAUCUUAGGAAAAUUCUAGUUCGGGAUUUCAGCACCACUUUGUUCGUCCUUGAAGAAACUCAAAGAUCCCUCUAUGCAUUCUACAAAAUUAAACUCUCAUUCUUUGUAUAUUUGUUUUUGCACAAUAUUUUUAUAAUUCAAAAG
rnacentral:lncRNA from 1 species